rnacentral:misc_RNA from 1 species
AGUUAGAAUCUAUUAGGAUUGCAUAUCUCUUGAUUCAGUUUGAAUGCAAUCUUUUGUAGCACCUUUUCUGGAACCUACCAUGUUUGCAUCUCAUAUCUUAAUCUUCAGUUGGCAGGGAAUGGACCCAUUCCUAGAUAAUUAGACAAUUAGUAAUUGUUGGAUGCCUUAUUUUGGGUUUGGGUGGAGAAUAUUCAAAAUGGGGGGGAAGGGUGCAUAAUUCAUGCUUAUGUCCUUAGGGGUGGAUUUUAACCACCUGUGAGUAUUAAAUCUUAUUGUUUUAGAUGUCCUCAGGCUAGUUUGGUAAGGAUUUAUGGAGGAAAGAAAAUUCAUUACUUGCUGUUACAUAUUCUUUGCUGUGUUAAAAUGUCAUGUAGAGUUGAUUUUGAGAUCCUUUGUUUUCACCUGCUUUGUUACCAUUUCUUGUUCAAGAACUUACCAUUAGGACAUCCCUGCAUGAAGCCAAAGUAACAUUGGUAGUCCCAAUUUACUGCAGAUAGCCUUAUCUAACAUAGGAGGAUCCCUUCCUUGGCUUCAAGGUUCACAAAAGGAAGUUACUAAAUACAAAAUGUAUGGUGUGACCCACAUGUUUGUUAUAUAUGAGUCUUUAUGUUUGUAUUUUGGGUCCAUGAUGGACCCAGUUUUACAUUAGUCUCACAUGUUUAUAUGAGCCUUCUUUCCUGUGUUAUCUUCUUUCCUGUGUUCGUGAGUCUCGCAUGGUUUAGGCAAGAAUUGCCCAUGGUGACUUUGUGGAAGGGGCA